UGUGUGUGUGUGUGUGUGUAUAUGUAUACAUACACACGCACUUUUAUAUAUGUAUAUAUAUAUAUAUAUAUAUAUAUAUAUACACACAUACACACACACA